UACAGAGGUCUCAAGCGUUGUUCGGAUUCAUUGGGCGUAAAGGGUGCGUAGGUGGCGCGCUAAGUCAGGUGUGAAAUUUCGGAGCUUAACUCCGAAACUGCAUUUGAUACUGGCAUGCUUGAGGACUGGAGAGGAGACUGGAAUUCACGGUGUAGCAGUGAAAUGCGCAGAUAUCAGGAGGAACACCAAUUGCGAAGGCAGCUCGCUGGGACGUUACUGACGCUGAGACGCGAAAGCGUGGGGAGCAAACAGG
rnacentral:rRNA from 1 species